rnacentral:rRNA from 1 species
AGGUGCGAUCAUACCAGCACUAAUGCACCGGAUCCCAUCAGAACUCCGCAGAUAAGCGUGCUUGGGCGAGAGUAGUACUAGGAUGGGUGACCUCCUGGGAAGUCCUCGUGUUGCACCUCU